UGGAAAUUGUAUCCUAUUAGCUUCUACAA
rnacentral:piRNA from 1 species